rnacentral:rRNA from 1 species
GAUGAACGCAGGCGGCGUGCUUAACACAUGCAAGUCGAACGGAGUUUACUUAACAGAUUUCUUCGGAAUGAUGUUUUUAAACUUAGUGGCGGACGGGUGAGUAACGCGUGGGUAACCUGCCUUACACAGGGGGAUAGCAGUUGGAAACGACUGGUAAUACCGCAUACCUUACAUUAUUCGCAUGUUUGAUGUAAGAAAGAUUUUAUCGGUGUAAGAUGGACCCGCGUCUGAUUAGCUAGUUGGUGUGGUAACGGCAUACCAAGGCGACGAUCAGUAGCCGGCCUGAGAGGGUGAACGGCCACAUUGGGACUGAAAUACGGCCCAGACUCCUACGGGAGGCAGCAGUGGGGAAUAUUGCACAAUGGAGGCAACUCUGAUGCAGCGACGCCGCGUGAGUGAAGAAGUAUUUCGGUAUGUAAAGCUCUAUCAGUAGGGAAGAUAAUGACGGUACCUACAGAAGAAGCCCCGGCUAAAUACGUGCCAGCCGCCGCGGUAA